GCUCUCAGAUGGUGAGGCAAUCAUGCUGAGUGCGGCUUGGCGGCUGUUGCAGAAAAUUGUGGAAAUACCAUUUUGGUUUUUCUGCAGUAGCCUGCCACAGAGGAAUCGCCCAGAGUUUCUGGCAGAAAUGCGCCCCGUAUAACGGACCAUGUGUCGACGGAGGGUGUCGUUACCCGCGUUUCCACCGAGCCUCCCGUCAAACGAGGCAGCCCGCUUGAGAUCGUUUCAUGGGUACGAGGCCAAGAAUCUAUCCGUUGUGCUGUGUACACACGUAGAACGGGAAGGGGGUGUGUAGAAUUGCUUUCCGGAAACAGAUGGGCCAGAAGAUGUGCCUACGCGACGGUUGGGUCCGUCACAAACGAAGAGCGCCGCGUGGGUACGUCCUGUCUGAGGAUUACCACGUGGUUACGCCCCUGGCGUGAGUCACACUGCCACUCCAAUACACAUCAUGGAGGAUAGUGAUGUAAUGGAAGAUGUGUAGGGCCACAGCUUCUCGUCCACUUCUGGGACUCGAGAGCCUCUGCGGACUCCUUGCCGUCACGGAGUGCUCCGGGUGUGCCCACGGAUGGCGCACAACUUCAUAGCGGUACCACGGAUGUGGAUCAUAGCCACUGUAGAGAUUAUUAACGUCAGUUUCUUUCGAAAGCAUGCCACCCAUCGCCAGGUAGGUUUACAGUCACCGCCCUCCCACCGCGUUCGUCUUGACCCCUUAGCCAUACGGUUACCGUAUAACUUUAGGGGAAAGUUCAACGUAGGUGUAAAGAUGGUCAGAAUGAGUCCUUGUACACUUGUUCCUGCUUGGUGUCUCUCAGUUUUAAGUUAAAGGGGGUUUCUUCUGCGUUUCAUUUUGUUCGACGUGUUCAAUAUUUUUACUCAAAAACACUGUCAACCUAC
rnacentral:lncRNA from 1 species